AGCGAACGCUGGCGGCAGGCCUAACACAUGCAAGUCGAACGGAUCCUUCGGGAUUAGUGGCGGACGGGUGAGUAACACGUGGGAACGUGCCCUUUGGUUCGGAACAACUCAGGGAAACUUGAGCUAAUACCGGAUGUGCCCUUCGGGGGAAAGAUUUAUCGCCAUUGGAGCGGCCCGCGUCUGAUUAGCUAGUUGGUGAGGUAAAGGCUCACCAAGGCGACGAUCAGUAGCUGGUCUGAGAGGAUGAUCAGCCACAUUGGGACUGAGACACGGCCCAAACUCCUACGGGAGGCAGCAGUGGGGAAUCUUGCGCAAUGGGCGAAAGCCUGACGCAGCCAUGCCGCGUGAAUGAUGAAGGUCUUAGGAUUGUAAAAUUCUUUUACCGGGGACGAUAAUGACGGUACCCGGAGAAGAAGCCCCAGCUAACUUCGUGCCAGCAGCCGCAGUAAAAC
rnacentral:rRNA from 1 species